ACAUCUUAUUCAAAACAAAAACCAUUAUCCAAAACCCUAAUUUAUCUACCUCCACCACCAAUCUUCUGUACCGCCGUAUUCAAUCUUCAUCAGAUUUGCAAUCUAAUUCAACUGGUUAUAGGGUUCAAUAAUUAAUAAGCCUAUUACUAGGGAAUGCAGAUCCAAAAUCCGCCUCACUUUUAUCUUUUAACCCUUUUUCGCUUCCUCUUCUAUCUGUUUCUUUCUCUUUCCAAAACACCACCACCAUCUGUGAUUCUUUAGGGUUUGCAAUUUGGUGCUUUAUGAAUUUCUUUGUGCAAAGGGGAGUAAAUAAAGAGACGCAAUCAUUUGAAAAUCCAGUUUGAUUUGGGUUCUUCUCAAGAGUUACAAAGAUGCUUAUAUUGACAGUGGUUCUUGAAGUUCUUGGUUUAUGUUGGAUGUCGCCAAGGGGGAGGAGAUUCUUGGUCGAAUCAAACAGAAUAUGUUUUCUAUAGAUUGUGGAUGAUUGGGUGAAACAACUUAUUCGUAUCUCGGUGUACAAAAAUAAGAUGGUUGAAGAUGAAUAUGUGGUCGGUCAUAUAUACUUUUGGUUCACAUGAGCUUGGGCAAGUCUUAGUAAAGAUUAAAGAAUAAGGGGCUGUUUGGUAGUCUCUUAAUAACCAUUCAGAUGCUACAUCUUAAUGGUUUAGAACCUCUGAAUGAAUAAGAGGUAACCUCAAGUCUGAAUGGUUAAGAGGUAACCUCUGAAUGGUAAAUCAUCACAUGUCACAUUCUUCUACAUUCUCAUUGGUAAAAUUCUUAAUGGUUCCAUUAAGAGGUAGCCUCUUAAUGACCAUUCAGAGGCUACCAAACAGCCACUAAAAGUAAAUAACUGGUGAGGACUUUAGUCUUUAAUAAAUUGGUUGUGUAAUCUCUAAAUUCGAAUGGUAGGUUCAUGGUCCUAGGGUAGAUAUUGACACCUUAUGUGUGGGGCCUUCUUAUGUGAAUCGAGAUGUAAGAUAUUUGUAAAAUUAAGAGAUUGUUUUUCAUGCAUACAGUCAUAACUCGCGCCACGCGCCACAUAUUUGAUAUUUAUCAGGAGGAUUUUUUUCUUUGUUUUGCACGGCAUAUUAGUCCCCACAAAACACCUUCACUGAGCGGCAAAACAGGGAUGGCGGCACCUUCACCGAGCGGCAAACCCUCACCCUGCACACUUUCCCCGCUCCACCACGUUCACCCUUAAGUGGAAUGGAGGAAGUUAUUGAACUUCAACUACUUCCAGAUGCUCAUGCUCCAGUCAUGAAGUUCAAGUUUGAUGGAAUAAAUCUCAAAUUAUAGAAUAUAGAUACAAUAUUGGUGGCAUGAUACCUCAAGGCAACACGUGACAUUAGGGGAAACCAACCUGGUGAUUAGAGGUUAGUAGCAUCAAAACCAUUUAGUUUUGAAUUUCGCUUUAAAAUAGAGUUCUUUUUUAGAAUAAUCAGUUUAUAUUGCCUGCUUUUGAAAUAAGAGAUCGAUACUAACACUCUAAAAUAAUCUAAUAAUCAGUUUGGUGAUAAUAUAAAAGUCAAAUUAUGUGUCUUCCAGGAGUUUCAGGGUUGUUUUACGCAUAUGUUGCCAGUUUAGGGAAGACUAAAAUAGUGGUUCAUGAUGACUCUGCAUCUAUUGUUUUAUUCAUGUUUAUGUUAUAAACCCUUUGUAUUUUAUGUUUUGUUAGGUUGAUUUUGAUAUAUUUAUGCAAAAAGGAGCUUUAAAGAGAGUGAAAAAAGUCGAAUCAACAGUCUGUGUAAUGUAAUCUUUAAUACUAUGACUUGGAGAUAAAGUUUUUGCAAGGCCUUUUCUCAUUAUUACAUAUAUCGUAAUAUGUAAUUUAUCAGUGAGAAGUAGUUAUAGAUAAAUGAAUAAUGUGUUCUUUUUAUUUUGUUUUGUUUUUCCUUUAUAAUGACUUUUUCAUUUGUAAACAUACAAUACGUUGACGUUGACAUUUGGGUCAUAUUUACUUUAUUCGAUAUUUAAUAUUUUUCUUCAACCUGUGUAACACACGGGUCAAUAACCUAGUAUAAUAAUACAAUAAUAGAAUAUGUUACUAACAACGAUUAUAAUCUAAUAUAACUAUAUAAAGCAUCUCUGAUGGAUAGAAAUGUAAUUUAACAUCACAUACAAAUUUUAUAACAACAUGUACAAGAAAAUAAAGUAUUUUUAGAGGGGUUAAACAUGUAUUUUGAGGAAAGUUUUAAGACGUCUUGGGGCUAAAAUAGAGAAAUCCUCCUCCCGCAUUUACUAUCCAGGUUACCAUCGUCUCUUCCAAUUUCCAAAUCCCACCACAACCCUAAUUGAAUGUUGCACUUGAAGUGUCGUGCGUUUCCAUCCCACCCACUCAAUUUUAGGUUUAGCGUUUCCUUUAUUAAUUCAAUCAUCCCCUUGAUUUUGAUGUAUUCACUGAGAAGAUUGAAAGAGCAAUCAAGAGCCAAAGAGUCGUCCGAGAGCACCUUCAUCUGUCGUCCUUGGAUUCUUCAAUCUCUGUAAUUUUAUUCUCACCAAGCUGUUUCUUAUAUGUUGUUAUUUGAUUCAGCAAUUAGCAUAUAUGUUUGGGGAUUUUGCCCUUUUCUUCUAUUGUUGAUGAUUUUCUUCGUUAUCCAUACUGUUUACAAUAACUGUAGUUUGCAAUUGAUCAUGAUGAUGAACAAAAGAAACUGUUGAUGUUGAAUGAUGACGAGUCCACACCAAAAGAUAAAGGUUAUGGUUGGGGACCAAAAUAUGGGAAUUAUUGGAUUAAUCAGGUUAGUAUGUCAUAGUAGUUGGUGUUAUGUGCUUGAGAUUUGUUUAUUGUGCAGAAUUUUGCUGGAAAUUUCAGGAUUUUACCGGAAUGUUGUCGAAAUCUAACCAAAAUCCGACUGAAAUCUCGUUUGAAGGUCGCCAGGGAUGAAAUCUAAAACUAGGAAACAACCUUAACACACCAUCUUUUAAAGAAUUCAGUUUCUCCAUAUCCCAAUAAGUCGUUCAACAACAAUUUUCUUUGAAACACAAGAGUUGAUUAAUAAAAUGGAAAUGAAAAUAGUUUCAGUAAUAUGGGAAAAUGUUUAAGAAUCCAUAUUGAAAACGAUGAAACUGUGAUUACUAGGGCUAUUCUCAACAUGCCCAUCACAAGAGCCAGCAUCAUCCGUGAUCCCACUUGAACCAGAAGAAACCUGUAUCAGGUUUGGAGCUGCCUACAUUGGUUGCAGGGUAUGAGAAGAAGCCGAUAUCACAGCUUUGAUCGUCCAUUCAUUUGAAGAAACAUAACAGAAUGAAGGAGGUAUCUUCUUCUAAUCUUGAUGUGUUAAUCAAACACUAAAUUUAAUCAGAAGAAUGGUAAACCCGAAAUAGAUGAAAGGUGGGUAUGAAAAUUAUCUGAUUAACAAACAACACAAUAAGUUGACCCGUCAAUUUGACAAGCCAAAACUGUGUGUGACCGUCUCUGGCCCUCCCCAAUCUGUUUUGUUCCCUGAGCCAGGUGUACACACAUCAUUUGGGUGGUCACAGCUGAACCAAGAAAACUCAAAAAUCAAGAGUUCCCUCAAAUUCGAAUAUAGCCCCUGAUUUCAAUCAAUAUCUUGGUUGAACGGGUCAUACAUCUAUCUUCAAAAUUACUAAUUCUGGUACCAGCAUCAGGUAAGUAUUUUGUGUGCUCAUUAAAAUUUAAACAUUAUACAUAAUUUAAGAAAUUAGAAAAAAAUAUAUAGAUAUAAAAUACAAGAAAGAUUAACGCAUGCAAUUGCAAUGUGAAAGGUUGUAGUCUAUUUUGACCCUCAAUUAUUUCAUGCAUAUGAUAAAAUAGUUGGUAGACAGGGACGCUACCCCUCUAGAUCAACAUAUAUAAAUAACAACUAACAAUAUUUUAAUCUUCAUGUUGUCGUAAUCCUUUAAUUUUGAGAUCCCUCGGACGUGAGAAAACUCAAGUGGAAAUAUAAAGAAGCAUUUACCAAACACGAGAAGGAAAAUAAGCACACAGUUGAAUCAUGGAGAAAAGCACUAGAAAAGGCAAGCAUCAUUUCUAGAAAAGGCAGGUAGCAUUUAUGAGGGGGGAAAUUUUCAAGUUAAUUGUAACUUCAAAUUUGGAUCCGAAAAACAAUAUCUUAGUAUGAAAUUUCAUUAUAAUUUUUGGCAGUCUUAUUGAAUACAAAAAAAAUGUAAACAGGUGCAUGUGAA